rnacentral:rRNA from 1 species
AUUGAACGCUGGCGGCAGGCUUAACACAUGCAAGUCGAGCGAGCGGCGGACGGGCGAGUAAUGUCUGGGAAACUGCCUGAUGGAGGGGGAUAACUACUGGAAACGGUAGCUAAUACUGCAUACCAUCAGAUGUGCCCAGAUGGGAUUAGCUAGUAGGUGGGGUAAUGGGUCACCUAGGCGACGAUCCCUAGCUGGUCUGAGAGGAUGACCAGCCAAACUGGAACUGAGACACGGUACAGACUCCGACGGGAGGCAGCAGUGGGGAAUAUGGCACAAUGGGCGCAAGCCUGAUGGAGCCAUGCCGCGUGUGGGAAGAAGGCCUUCGGGUUGUAAAGCACUUUCAGCGGGGAGGCGUUACUCGCAGAAGAAGCACCGGCUAACUCCGUGCCAGCAGCCGCGGUAAUUC